GAUGAAGAACGUAGCGAAAUGCGAUAAGUAAUGUGAAUUGCAGAAUUCAGUGAAUCAUCGAACCUUUGAACGCACAUUGCGCCCAUUAGUAUUCUAGUGGGCAUGCCUGUUCGAGCGUCAUUUCAACCCUUAAGCCUAGCUUAGUGUUGGGAGCCUACUGCUUUUACUAGCUGUAGCUCCUGAAAUACAACGGCGGAUCUGCGAUAUCCUCUGAGCGUAGUAAUUUUUAUCUCGCUUUUGACUGGAGUUGCAGCGUCUUUAGCCGCUAAAUCCCCCAAUUUUUAAUGGUUGACCUCGGAUCAGGUAGGAAUACCCGCUGAACUUAAGCAUAUCAAUAAGCGGAGGA
rnacentral:misc_RNA from 1 species